UUUAAAUUUAGGUCUCUCUCAGAUGUAGACUAUUUGAAGAAGAGACUUCAAGUCGGUUUGGAGCAGUUAGCAUGCAAAAACAGAAUGAACAGUAGAUCUUCAUAUUGCCCCACUGCAGACAGAAAGAAACCCCAGUAUGGUCAGUUUGAGAAGCUGAUGGUUGAACUGUAAGUUGAAGAUGUGGCAUCCUUCAGGAACUUCCUCAGAGUUUCUCCAGAGUUUUUCCAAGAACUACUGGAUGGCCCCACCAUCCACGAGGCAAACACUCUCUGGAACCACCAGAGAUGCAGAUCUUGGAAUAGAAGACAUUCUGGGCUCUUCUUCUGAAGCAGCAGGAGUAGGACUGGGAGCAGCAGCAGCAGAAGUAUUCAGAAGGCUCAUGAAGGCAGGCUGGACAGCACACUGCUUGGCACACAUGCAGAAGGUAGAGCAUCAGCAGCAUCAGCCCUCCGCCUAGACUUCUUCGGAGGCAUAGUAACGUUAAUAGAUGGUCGAUUUGUAGAUGAUGGCAUGGGCAGUGUGAUGUCAGUUUAUAUGGUAGGGGUGCGAAGGUCGCCGUGUCACGGCACAUGCUCGUCGUGUCAACUUUUGCACGCCGUGCUUGAGUAACUCAAGGCUCUUCAUGCAAGAUUUUUACACGGCAAGCAAUAGUUUAACCCGCAGAGUAUGAAAUUUAACACGGCUACCAUUCAGAUCUCGUCGGCGUGUCACUGUCACCCGGCAAUGUGUGCAACUUUGGACGCCCAGCUAUUUCUGACACUCCCCGAGUCCUCCCCGAGUUUUCCCCGAGUGAGUUAUUGACUGGGCGACUCUUUUUUCGCUAGGCGAAAAUUUUAAACAUGUUUGAAAAUUGCUCGGCGAAAUGUAUCCAGAGUAGCUUCGACCUGCUGGUCUUAGAAAUUUUGUCUUACUCGGCUUCAUUACUCCUGUAUGUGUGAACACCGCAUCACGGUCGGCAAACACAAGCAUGUUUUACAAUUCGUCGUUAUGACAGGUAUGCCUUUGUGAAUAAAUAAUACUUCAGCUGGA